CACUCACAGUGCGCUCACUCUGAACCUCUGUGCACACGAUGGGCCUGCAUCUCUUCCCACUAUCUGCUAGGAAACACGAGGCUGGGGGCAGGGGUAAUGGGGCCAGGGGGUAAUGGCAGGUGAGGCCAUGGCCUAGAGGGUUGCCAUGCUUGGUGCAGGGGAGGAGAGGCCCAGGUGUGGCUGCAGUGGCAGCAGGAGUCAGUGUGGCUGUGCCCAGUGGGAUGUUGUCAGAGAAUGGACCUGGCUGCUGGGAAAGGUGAUUGUGUUUGUCUGAGCCACACUGGACUCUUCUCUGACCAGCAAGCACAUUCUGGAGAUGCGGGGCAGAGACGAGGCCUCCGUGAGAACCUUUGAGGUGUGAGGGCCUUGAUCUGGGGUGCAGCCUCCAGCUUUCUGCUUACAGAGCAGGACCUGCAGGAGCUCGCUGACUGCCUGCACAGUGGAAGGAAGACCUGUUUCUUUUACUUUCCUUGAGGAGAAAAAAUUAAAGUUCUGAGCAAACGCA
rnacentral:lncRNA from 1 species